ACAUCUUUAUAUGAUGAACCGCGUACUUUUUGUAGAACGGUCCGGCGAGUUACGCGUGCCGGCAAGGUUAAGCACUUAAGGUGUGGAGCCGAAGAGAAAUCGAGUCUGAACAGGGCGUUCAGUCAGCACGCGUAGACCCGAAACCGGGUGAUCUACCCAUGUCCAGGUUGAAGUUGCCGUAAAAGGCAAUGGAGGACCGAACGCACAUCCGUUGAAAAGGGUGGCGAUGAGGUGUGGGUAGGGGAGAAAUUCCAAUCGAACCCGGAGAUAGCUGGUUCUCCUCGAAAUAGCUUUAGGGCUAGCCUCAUUUUAGUCUUAUGGAGGUAGAGCACUGAAUUUCCGCGGGGGCGUCAAAGCUUACCAAAGAAUAUCAAACUCCGAAUGCCAUGUAGAUGAUGAAUGGGAGUCAGACUGCACGAGAUAAGUUGGGUGGUCAAAAGGGAAAGAGCCCAGACCUACAGCUAAGGUCCCAAAGUGCGUGUUAAGUGGAAAAGGAUGUGGGAUUUCGAAGACAACCAGGAUGUUGGCUCAGAAGCAGCCACACAUUAAAAGAGUGCGUAAUAGCUCACUGGUCGAGAGGUCCUGCGCCGAAAAUGUCCGGGGCUGAAACACGACACCGAAGCUUAGGAAUCACAUAGUGAUUGGUAGAGGAGCAUUCUUAAAACCGACGAAGCUGUACCGGAAGGAGCAGUGGAGGGAUAAGAAGAGAGAAUGCCGGAAUGAGUAGCGAGAGGAAGGUGGGAAUCCUUCCGGCCGAAUAUCUAAGGUUUCCAGAGUAAAGCUGAUCUGCUCUGGGUAAGUCGGGGCCUAAGGAGAGGUCGAAAGACGUAUCCGAUGGACAACAGGUUUAGAUUCCUGUACCACAUAUAAACAGAACUGUGGGGACGCAUGUGGAAAGCAUAAGCCGGGAAUGGAAAUACCGGUACAAACGGAAGAGGUGUCAGGCUGGCAAAUCCGCCUGGCAAGCCAAAGACGUGAUGUGGAGCGAAAUAAAAGUAGCGAAGUAUGUGAGCCAUGUGCCGAGAAAAGCCGCUAUUGUUUUAUAUGUGCCCGUACCGUAAACCGACACAGGUGGAUGAGGAGAGAAUCCUAAGGCCGACGGAAGAAGCAUUGUUAAGGAACUCGGCAAAAUGACCCCGUAACUUCGGGAGAAGGGGUGCCCACUUCAGGGUGGGCCGCAGAGAAUAGGCUCAAGCAACUGUUUAGCAAAAACACAGGUCUAUGCGAAACCGUAAGGUGAAGUAUAUGGGCUGACGCCUGCCCGGUGCUGGAAGGUUAAGAGGAGAGGUUAGCGCAAGCGAAGCUUUGAAUUUAAGCCCCAGUAAACGGCGGCCGUAACUAUAACGGUCCUAAGGUAGCGAAAUUCCUUGUCGGGU
rnacentral:rRNA from 1 species